AAGAACAAUAACAUCUCUUUUGCAGGAUCAUGCAAUGCCCUCCGGCCAAAGGCUACCAGGAACACACCUUUCGGUUGAACAAAGUUGGCUUUUUGAGUCACUGCACUGGAGGGGAAUGCGCACCCCUGGAUGUCUCGGGGAGGGGAUGUUAGUAGGACUGAUCAUGGGAUUUGGGCUCGCAUUAAGUGAUUUUGCAGGCUGUUUCUCUAGGCUGGAUGCUGUCAGGAAGCAAGGGUAAUUCUGUGAUUGGGUAUGUCAAUGAUUCUCUUCUAGACGGCAGGAGGAACUGAGCAAAGCUACAACUGCAAUUAGUUAAGAAACAUUUGAGCCAGGAAGGGGAACAUUUGGGCAGUUUUGUCAUUUGGACGAUGUUCACGUUUUCGUCUGCGUUCAGGCAGGACUACAGAAUGGUCUCGUCUUUGUUUUGAUCCUUCAUGGUUACCGAGCGGUCUUGUCUGAUGUUUCUGGGCUGUAGAACUGUUCAUGUCCAACAGAACACCAUGGCCUGGCUGUGAAUGCCAGGCCAGCCCAGGCUGUCAGAGGGCUUUCCCCUUUCUCAGUUGUUAUGAGGAUAACGUGCCCACACUUGGCAAACCAUAGGCAAUAUUUCAGCUAUGCUGGAGCAGUGAUGAUCUGGAGGUUGAUACAUUAUGUGGCAGAGGCUGCCCGCACCACAGAGGCUCAGAGAAGGUUGAAGUUGCACAGGGAUGCUUCCAGCAGCAGUGUUUAAGCUGGGUUUUUAAGGAUGAAUAGAAGUUGCAAGAGGAGGAAGGAUGACUCCAAAUAAAUCAGAGCAGAGGCCUGAUUAGCCCACUUUGGUGGGUUGUCAUGGUGCCUCUCUGCCAAGAGGCAGUAGUCCCCCAUAGUUGACCAGGGGUCCCCCAUCCCCACUUCAGGCAACAGGAUCUGGACUGCACCAGGAGGAACACAUGACUGUGCCAGUCAGCACAUCACAUCCCCAUGGCCCAUGGCUGUUUAGGGCAGGCGUAUGACUGACUUGUCCAAUAAGAUAAGAUCUCAAAACAAAUCACCCUCUCCACCUGAGCCAAGCAAAGAGGGUUCACCUGCCCCAUUUGGUCCACAGGGCUGUUUCAAGGCCCUGUUCUCAGCCUCCUGUUCAGGAUCAAGUUUCACAAAUGGAUCCUUCUCCUAUGUCAGGCCUUCCUGACUUCUCCCCCUCUUGGCUACUCAUGCUAAUUCCAUGUCUGUGGUAGAAGAAGCCCCACACAGGCACUUACGGGGCUUCUACUGGAUGCAUCCUCAUAGCCAUCUGCAGGGGAGGAAGGAGCAUCCCCAUUUUAUGGAUAAAGAAUUGGCUCACAGGUCCAAGGUCCCAUCGCCGUUAAGUGGUGAGGCCACAUGUAGCUGAUUUCAGAGAUUUGCUCACUAUGCCAGGCUCCUCUCGAAUGCUGGCUUCUGGUCAAGUAAAUUAGUCCACAAAAGUUAUCCACAGACAGUUAUUGAGCACAUAUGAUUGCACCCAGCUUUGGGUCAGCCUCUGACACAACUCCUUGGAGAAGGGGCAUCCUAGGAUUAAGAAACCAGCUCCCCCUACAUAGGACCACCCGUCAGCAUAACAAAGACGCCGGGUCUGGGGUGCCAAUAGCAAUGGAAUGGGAGCUUCACUAAGGACAAACAGCAGCAUCUGCUUUACAGCGGUGGGCCCGAAGAUCAGGCAGGAAAGGAGAAAGGAGAAAGAAGGUGAAGUCUCUUGAAUAAUAGGAAACCACUCCCUUGAGAGUCUGGACCUGACUCCUGGCUUUGGGGUCAGGCAGACGUGGGUCCCUACAUAUCCUUUCCUAGCUGUGUGACUUUGCCUGCCUGAGCCUCAGUUCCUCUAACUGUAGAGUAAGGAUAAUAAUGGUGCCCUUUCCUCUGGCUAUUGGAUGGCUAUUCUAAGCUGCUCGACUCAUUCCCCCUCCCAGUCCUAGAGCCUAGCAUCUGGGCUGGCAUUAACCUUCCAGGAGCUGAUGAUGCACCCUGCUGACACCAGGGUGCCUGAUGGACCGGGCUGCUGCUCGAGGAGGGAGUUGCUGGCUGUUUCCUCCUUUGACUCCCACUGGACCCAUGAACUUGGGCCUUAGGUUGAGCUGAUGGGGGAAGGACACGAGGCAAGGACUGAGCUUGUAGUCAGGCUCCUGGGAGCCCGCUGGCCCCAGGAACUGACCAUGCAGGCCCCAGGCCCCAUGCUCUUUGUAACUUCCUCUCACUAUCCAGGACCACAUGAAUGGAAGUGCCAGGAAGACAGGGCUUUCGAUUGCUUGGUUCAUUGAUCCAUCCCAGCACCUGGAACAGGGUCUGACAAAGAUGAGGUGCUCUGUACACAUUUGUUGAAUGAAUGAAUGAGCCUCAUCCUGGCGGAAAGGGGGCUGUUUGAACUUGAAAUUGCUAAAGCCAGGUGCUCAAAAACAAAUGCCUUCAGAGGCCAGGCAGGUGAUGGAAAUGUGGAUGGGCAAAGGUGUUGACCAAGAGGGAUGUGUGGGGACUAUGGGCAAACAGAGAGGGCUUUUUGCACCUAAAGACCUUCAAACUGCAAAAACUAAGCACCACUUCUACAGCCAACAAGAGGCCAUCUGAGGGCCAUGUCCAUCUGAAGGCCUAUCCCACUCAGGGCCUCCCAGGCAUGGUUCCUGAAUCCUGUCUCCCUCCUAGCCUAGCGAGAGGCCUGCCAGAGUACUGCCUUCAUGUGCAGGAUGGGGACAUCCAGGCCCCAGGUCACAGCUCCAGCUCCAUCUGCAUCCUUCAUGCUCCCUAAGAGCCUGGCAGCCCAACUCUUCAGAGGAAGCAGUCCUUCCCUACUGCUGUUGCUGCCUUCAUGGCCUCAGCUGGGUCCCUGGGGCUGGCACCUGGCAACCUUAUACCCCCGGGGCCAACACCCAGGCCUGCACAUGUGUGCACAGACACAGGACAUGCCUGCGUGCACCCAAGCACCUGCCCCCAAAGGCAUACUCAGGUGCUUUUGGGCACCUUCUGCUCUAUUCAUAGAUCCCCUUCUCCAGGAAGUCCUCCCUGACUAUACUCCCUCACACUGCAUGCUAGAUCUGCCCCUCCUCUCUCCAGGCCUUCAUCAUACCUCACAGUGACCUGUGGCAUCCCCUCCCCUGGGAACAGUGGCUCUGGUGGGGAGGAACUGUAUAUGACUCACUUCUGUGCCCCCCAGCACGGGCUUGGCACAGAGCAGGUGCCUGCAAGUGUUUUCUGAGUGCACAGGAGAAAGUUAAGAAGCAUCACAGAUAUUAGGCUUCCUCAGUUCAAAUCCCUAUACGGCUACCUACUUGCUGUAUGACUUGAGCAGGUAGCUCAAACCUCUCUGUCCUCAGUUUCCCCACGUGUGAUAUAGGGAUAAUAAUAGUGUCGGCUGGACACGGUGGCUGACACCUAUAAUCUCAGCACUUUGGGAGGCCAAGGUGGGAGGACCACCUGAGGUCAAGAGUUCGAGACCAGCCUAGCUAACAUGGCAAAACCCCAUUGCUACUAAAAAUACAAAAAUUACCCGGGCUUGGUGGAGUGCACCUGUAAUCCCAGCUACUCUGGAGGCUAAGGCAGGAGAAUUGCUUGAACCUGGGAGGCAGAGGUUGCAGGGAACCUAGAUCGUGCCAUUGCACUCCAGUCUGGGAGACAAGAGCAAGACGCUGUCUCAAUAAAUAAAUAAAUAAAUAAAUAAAUAAAUAAAUAAAA
rnacentral:lncRNA from 1 species